GGUAGGUAGAAUAUUUAAUCUUUCUAAUUUUUUUAUGAAUUAUUGAAGCAAUUGAACAUUGAAGCAUAUUAUAUAGAAUAGAUGUUGGAUUGUACGUCGUGUUUUCAACGUUUUYGUGUGAUCUACCCUAUUCCGGACUCCACUACCCGUGUAUUAAUUUUUAAUGAUCUUGUACGUGCGUCGUGCUUUUUAAUUUUACUGUCACAUCUGUAUCAAACUAUUAGGUAACAAUUAUUGGCCUGUGUCGCUGUCUUAAGUUGUGUGUUCAAACCCGCUGUUAAUAUCCGACUUUCAUUGUCAUAAAAAUCAAUUAGGUCGAYCAAUCAAAGUAAUAUAACAUCAUAGCAACCAUUAAUCUUGAAUAUCUCCACACAGUGCGUCAGAGAUUAGCAUUUUGUAAGAGAAGGAACAGUAUUCCUUUUGAAAUUCCCAAUAGGAUCGUCGUUAUUUUGACGACAUGUCUGUCAAAUAUGUAUUGGUGUCUGACGAAGAAUAUGGUGAAGCGGUYGAACUGCCGCUUGAAGACAAUGGUACAUUACUGCUAUCUACAUUAACGGCCCAGUUUCCUGGGGCUAGUGGUCUUAAGUUUCGCACGGAAAACAACGUUGUCAGAGGUGUUAGGUUGGCCGACUUCCGAUUCCAUGUGCCUGACAAYGAAUGGGGAAAAACGCCUUACUACUGUGUUUUCCCCAAAGUUGAAAAUAAGAGAAAGAUUGAUGAUAGUGUAGAAAAUCCAACAGCUAAAACAAAAAGAUUAGAGACAAAAUUGAAAUGUUCAGAUUUAGUUGUCCUUAAUAUACCAUACACUUAUGAUGAACAAAAAUUGAAAGAAUACUUUGGUCAAUUUGGAGAACUACUUAUGUUACAGAUAAAAAGAGAUAAAAAUGGACAAUCUCGAGGGUAUGGAUUUUUAAGAUAUACUAACUUAGAAUCACAAGUAAGAGUUCUUUCUCAGCGUCACAAGAUUGAUGGUCGUAAUUGUGAAGUUAAGGUUCCAAAGUCUAAGGAAGGUAAUGGUUCAGAGCUUUCUGGAAAAGUAUUUGUGGGUCGUGUGACAGAAGAUUUAACAGCUGAUGACAUUCGUGAGUAUUUCAGCAAAUUUGGAGAAGUCAUCAAUGUGUUUGUACCCAAAAAUCCAUUCCGUGGAUUUGCAUUUGUAACUUUCCUUGAUCCUGAGGUAGCUGCUAGUUUAUGUGGUGAAGAUCAUAUUGUUAAGGACGUUUCAGUGCGUGUUUCCGAAGCCGCCCCAAAACCACAAGCUCCUAAAAAUCGUCAUCAAACUCCUCCACCUAGUGAACCCUGGGAGCGUUCUAAUAAUCGCCAUAAUGACAAUUAUCGAAAUUGGUAUCACUCACAACAUGAUAAUCGGGGGAGUGUAGACAUGCCUAAUCUACAGUCAUUGGGUAUUAAUGGUCAAGACACCUAUAAUCCAAUGUUGCCUUUGAGUCCGGCUAUUGUUGCUGCUGCAUUAACGCAAGCCGCAGGAUGGAGUCUAGCUAAUGGUCGUAUGAUGCCACCACCACCGCCUCCUAGUGGAAACAAUCAAUGGUCUCAACAUGGUCUCAACUCUCAACGAAAUAACUAUAAUAACAGGAAACGUUCUAAUAAUGAUUACAAUUCAUCAGGCAAUCGCUAAAAAAGAUAAUGCAUCAUUUGAGAAAUUUUACCAAAAACAAAUGCUUGUUCAUUAAAAAUUGAAAGUGCAUUGAAGAAGUUGAGUCUCAGCCAAGAAAUGCCUUUGAAUUAAAAGAAUAGUCAUUGUUAUCAAAAAUCCAUGUCAAUAACAUUUUCUGAAAGGAUGUAGGUUCAAAAGCAACAACAUUUCAUCCCUAACAAAAGAUAGGUUGAAAGUAUUAGCAGACCGAUUUAUUUUUAUGGAUUAUGGACAUACAGAGUGGAUAAUUAUGUAUGAUACAGAAACAGUACAUUACUAGAAUGAAUAAAAAGGUUUAGAAAGGCAACAAUGAAAUUUAACUGUACUAGUAAUUUUUUUGUUUCUGUUUUGUGAGAGACAUUUUAAAUACAUAAGU